rnacentral:rRNA from 1 species
GAUGAACGCUAGCUACAGGCUUAACACAUGCAAGUCGAGGGGAAACGAUAGAGAAAGCUUGCUUUUUCUAGGCGUCGACCGGCGCACGGGUGAGUAACGCGUAUCCAACCUGCCCAUCACUUGGGGAUAACCUUGCGAAAGUAAGACUAAUACCCAAUGACGUCUCUAGAAGACAUCUGAAAGAGAUUAAAGAUUUAUCGGUGAUGGAUGGGGAUGCGUCUGAUUAGCUUGUUGGCGGGGUAACGGCCCACCAAGGCGACGAUCAGUAGGGGUUCUGAGAGGAAGGUCCCCCCACAUUGGAACUGAGACACGGUCCAAACUCCUACGGGAGGCAGCAGUGAGGAAUAUUGGUCAAUGGACGAGAGUCUGAACCAGCCAAGUAGCGUGCAGGAUGACGGCCCUAUGGGUUGUAAACUGCUUUUAUAAGGGAAUAAAGUGGUCUCGUGAGACUUUUUGCAUGUACCUUAUGAAUAAGGACCGGCUAAUUCCGUGCCAGCAGCCG